UACGUAGGGUGCGAGCGUUGUCCGGAAUUAUUGGGCGUAAAGAGCUCGUAGGCGGUUUGUUGCGUCGGCCGUGAAAACUCACAGCUCAACUGUGGGCGUGCGGGCGAUACGGGCAGACUUGAGUACUGCAGGGGAGACUGGAAUUCCUGGUGUAGCGGUGGAAUGCGCAGAUAUCAGGAGGAACACCGGUGGCGAAGGCGGGUCUCUGGGCAGUAACUGACGCUGAGGCGCGAAAGCUAGGGGAGCAAACGGG
rnacentral:rRNA from 1 species